rnacentral:rRNA from 1 species
UACAGAGGGUGCAAGCGUUGUUCGGAAUCAUUGGGCGUAAAGGGCGUGUAGGCGGUUUGUUAAGUCAUGUGUGAAAUCCCUCGGCUCAACCGGGGAACGACGCAUGAAACUGGCAAGCUAGAGUACCAAAGAGGGGGGUGGAAUUCCCAGUGUAGAGGUGAAAUUCGUAGAUAUGGGGAGGAACACCGGUGGCGAAGGCGGCCACCUGGACGGAUACUGACGCUGAGACGCGAAAGCGUGGGUAGCAAACAGG